rnacentral:rRNA from 1 species
UCGAGUGGCGAACGGGUGAGUAACACGUGGGUGAUCUGCCCUGCACUCUGGGAUAAGCCUGGGAAACUGGGUCUAAUACCGGAUAGGACCAUGCUUUAGUGUGUGUGGUGGAAAGGUUUUCGGUGUAGGAUGAGCCCGCGGCCUAUCAGCUUGUUGGUGGGGUAAUGGCCUACCAAGGCGGCGACGGGUAGCCGGACUGAGAGGUUGGUCGGCCACAUUGGGACUGAGAUACGGCCCAG